ACCGGAGCUCUCUGACAGAGAAAGGGCCCAUCAGCACCUUUUAGUGAAUGGAGGAAUUCAUCCCUUUUUUCUUUUUUGGCAGGUCUAUUCUUUUCCAGCGGAUGCUUCUGUUCUUGACAGCAAGCUCAAGGUCUCUUUGACUCUGAACAGGCAGAGGAUCCUUUUGAGCUAGGGGAGAUGCUGGAGAAAGAGCUGGAUGCGGAGAGUCCUCUUGAACUGCUGGAGAGCCUACACCAGGAGUUCCCAUUGCCACUGGCAGCAGGCAUUGAUGGCACGAUGGUGGAAACAAGGAUUCAGCAGGAUGAGGGAUACCUUUUGGUAUCUAUAAUCUCAAGAUGAGAGUCAAACUGCAUGGCACAUGGCAUGGCCACUCCUCAAACCACAUGGCCUCUUCACAUCAUUUUUGGGCUCCCCUUCUUCUGUUGCACCAGAGCUCUGGCUGGAGAAAACCCAGGGCCAAUGGAGAUGGAAUUUGCCACAGCCUUUCACCUUGGAACAAUAAGCAUCUCUCUAGCAAAAGUGGCACAUUGGAAUUAAUGCUGCCUUCACCUUGGAGACUUUUUAAACAAAACAGAUAAAUGGAGGGCCGGUUUGAAUGAAAGAGAGC